rnacentral:rRNA from 1 species
UACGGAGGGGGCUAGUGUUGUUCGGAAUUACUGGGCGUAAAGGGCGCGCAGGCGGCUUGGCAAGUCGAGUGUGAAAUCCCUUGGCUUAACUAAGGAAUGGCGCUCGAAACUACCUCGCUAGAGGACGGGAGAGGGAAGUGGAACUCUCGGUGUAGGGGUGAAAUCUGCAGAUAUCGAGAGGAACACCGGUGGCGAAGGCGGCUUCCUGGCCCGUAGCUGACGCUGAGGCGCGAAAGCGUGGGGAGCAAACAGG